AAUAAAAUUGAAACAAUGCAGAGUAGAUUAACAUGGCCCUGUGCACAAGGAUGACAGGCAAAUUUAUGAAGCAUUCCAUAUUUAU
rnacentral:snRNA from 1 species